GACGAACGCCGGCGGCGUGCUUAAUACAUGCAAGUCGAGCGGGGUUGAAGCGAGGGGUAACUCGAACUUCUACCUAGCGGCGGACGGGUGAGUAACGCGUGGGCAACCUGCCUCAAGGUCUGGGAUAACAGCUCGAAAGGGCUGCUAAUACCGGAUAUGCCUAUAGCCUCGCAUGGGGCUAUGAGCAAAGGGGAAACCCGCCUUGAGAUGGGCCCGCGUCCCAUCAGCUAGUUGGUGAGGUGAAGGCUCACCAAGGCGACGACGGGUAGCCGGCCUGAGAGGGUGACCGGCCACACUGGGACUGAGACACGGCCCAGACUCCUACGGGGGGCAGCAGUGGGGAAUCUUGCACAAUGGGCGAAAGCCUGAUGCAGCGACGCCGCGUGAGCGAAGAAGGCCUUCGGUUGUAAAGCGUCUGUCUGGAGGGACGGAAGAAAGUGACGGUACCGUCCGUACGGAAGGACGACCGGACGUACCUAACGUACGUCCGACGACCGAGCCGGCCGGUAACGGUACUACUAACUCCGUACCUUCG
rnacentral:rRNA from 1 species